GCGGACAGAAGCGGACGCAUUUUUCCAAUCUUGCCAAGAUUGGGGUCGAGGGUUCGAAUCCUUUCGCCCGCUCCA
rnacentral:tRNA from 1 species